CCAGAAUCUCUGAAUAUGACCUUAUUUGGAGACAGAGUCAUUGCAAAUAUAAUUAGUUAAGAUGAAGCAAUAAUUGCAUAGAGUAAGCCCUUAAUGACUGCUAUUGUUAUAAAAAGAGAAGAGACAGAGACACAGAGCAAAGAUUUCUGCAUGUGGACGUAGGCAGAGCUCGCACUUACGCAUUUAUAAUCCAAAGAAGGCCAAGGGUAACUGGUAACUCUCAGAAGCAGAAAAAGAAGCUUGGGACGGACUCCCCUUCAGAGCUCUGUAGGGACCAAUUUUGCUGGUCAAAGAACAGAAAAAAAUAUUUGAAGAAAAGAAGAAAAGAUCUAACCUUCAUUAUACAGGAUUGCACAGAUUGCCUUUUGUGAUAAAAAGAGGAAGAAAAAUGGCAGCAACCCAGAUUAUUAUUAUACUUAAAUGGUCUCUCACACUUUAUGAAGAUCUUUGUGUAAAAGUAUUAAGCAGUCCAUUUAACAGAGAAGUAUGUUUGUUUCACAUGUAUCAGAAAAUGUGAGUCUUAAUUAAAAUAGAUCCUGACGUCAAAUGCUAUUGAUGAGCAGUUAUUAUUCUAUAUGCUAUAUUUUAUAUCAGUGUAAUGUGUAUGAAGUUUUAAAAGACCUUCUAGGUUUCUGCCAGAUAGUGAUACAGUGAUAAAAUAUCAGCAGUUCAAAAAAAAAAGAAUGAAAGGUUUAUAUGAAUGAUGACACUGAAAAAAAAAAACAGACCCUCAGAACUAAGGUAUCUCUUGAUAAAUAAAGCUGUUAGAUGUUAUGUGGCAAUAUCAGAUGUCAGGAGACAGAAAGAAAGUAUUAGUUGCUUCCAAGGGAUCUGAUAUAAUGAAUAUAGUAAUUAGGUAGAUUGAUCACGGUCCCUCGGUUAUAGAAUCAAGUUGAUAAGACUCUACUAGUGAGUGGAAGUUGGUGGGGUCAAGAUUUGUUAAGAAAAUCUUAUGUAUUGUUUAGCAAACUAUAUGUAGAAGAAACUACUAGAGACAUAGAGAAUUACACAAUGUUUAUAGGUAGACAUAAAACUGAAUAAAACUUCAUGUAAUGGUUGUUAUAUAUGCUACUUAGUUUUUCACCAACUUAUUUCUUUUAAUAUUUCAUAAAAAUUAUGUUUUUAAAAUUAAUUUAUAUUCAUAUACAUAGUUCUAGUUUAGUCACAAUGUUUCAGAGUGCAUACAUAUGAAGUAAAAUAUAAAGAAUGUAAAGGGGUGAUAAAUAUAAAUUCAGAAAUGUAAAUAUCUCUAUGUGGAAGAAGAAUACAAUCAGUAAAAUAUGUAGGAAUGAUUCAACUCUGUUUUAAGCUUUAUUUGUUAAUAGUGGAGACAGAAUUUUUUGUAUUCUUUAUUCAUUUUAUAUUCUUGAAAUAGUUCAAAAUAAAUUUAAGUUUUCUCCAAAA
rnacentral:lncRNA from 10 species